rnacentral:lncRNA from 1 species
CCCAUUCCAUUCCGUCCAUCCAUCCACCAUGGCGACCGCCACGCUGCUGAGCUCCUCCUUCGCCAUGCCCGCCGCCGCCCGGAGGGCCUCCUCCUCGUCCUCCACCUCCCUCGGCUUCGCCACGUCACAGCUUGCCGGCCUCUCCCUCUCCGCCGGCGCUGUCACUUCAACCGCCAUCGCCCCCCUCCCCAAGAGGCAGUUCCAGCCCAUCGUCGUGCGUACGUCUUCGAUUUGCUUUGCUUCGUUUCUUGUUCGUUUAUUUCCCUUCCUACCAACGAAUCUUCAGCUGACUGGGUUGCUCCAUUCUUCUCUGCUAUCAGCUAGUUCUCCAGUGGCAUUGUUCAAUUCAAUGCCUAGCUGCUCCGCCCAUUUCAAUUUCAAUCCUAUUACCAAAAAGUUCACAUCCAUCAGUUCUGACCUGCAUCUGUGCAACAAGCAGGAUGAUAAUUAGGGUAAUUGCCAUUUGAUUAACGAGAUGAUGAAGUUUUAUGUGUUGUUUCUUUCAUUCAGGCCGGGUGUGCCCCUUCACUGACAAGAAGACGAACCGGGCGAACAAGGUGUCCUUCUCCAACCACAAGACGAAGAAGCAGCAGUUCGUGAACCUGCAGUACAAGAAGCUGUGGUGGGAGGCCGGCAAGCGCUUCGUCAAGCUGCGCCUCUCCACCAAGGCCCUCAAGACCAUCGAGAAGCACGGCCUCGACGCCGUCGCGCGCAAGGCCGGCAUCGACCUCAACAAGAAGUGAGACGAGCUUGAGUAGUCAAGCCAGUGGUGGCGGUAUGGUCAGCCCGAGCAAUCUCGCAAAUAGAUGCCACUAGCUUAGCCUUCA